UGAGCAAUCUGCCCUUCUCUUCGGAAUAAGCGUUGGAAACGACGUCUAAUGCCGAAUACGACCUCCUUUCGCAUGAUCGGAGGUGGAAAGCUCCGGCGGAGAAGGAUGAGCUCGCGGCCUAUCAGCUAGUUGGUGUGGGUAAUGGCCCACCAAGGCGACGACGGGUAGCCGGCCUGAGGAGGGUGACCCGGCCACACUGGGACUGAGACACGGCCCAGACCUCCGUACGGGAGGNAGCG
rnacentral:rRNA from 1 species